rnacentral:lncRNA from 1 species
ACUAUAGUAGAAAUUUAGUUAGGGAGUUAGUUACUCUAGUUUAUUCUCACUAUACUCUAAUAUUUUGUGGUAACAUGGAGAUACCACAAAAACGGGAAACUAGGCUCUGAUACCAUGUUAUGAAUCAGAGGAUUCCAUGGUUCUAGAUCAAAUGCAAUGGAAAUAUAGAUUGUGUAAUUCUCUCUAGGAGUCAUUAUCAAGAAACAAUUGUAUAAAAGAUAUGGAAUAGUACAUAGAUGUAACUUAUUUAUAGUGAAUUGGAGUAACUAACUCCCUAACUAACUUUCUACUAUAGUUACCACUAAGUAACUCUAGUUUAUUCUCACUAUACUCUAAUAGUCCCCCUCAAACUCAAAAUGGGGAAAUUCACCAAUUUGAGUUUGAAAAUACAAUGAAAAAUACACUUGAGUAACAAUAGCAUAUGAACUAAGUAAAGUAGGGGUAAACUAAGUAAAACAAAAAAGUGAAAGGAAAGCAAAAGAAGCCCAAAUUGUAUGAAGAAACCCAGGUACAGUUGGGAAAAUCAGAUCCAUGUAGGAAAACACAGUAGGCAAGCAUCGCAGGUCUUCCAAUCUUCAUGUAAAUGCAAUUCUUCUCUACCAAAACCGCAAACACGCUUCUAAGACAUAGGCAGCUUAUACACAAUGUGUUGUUUCCAAAAGAGCUUGUACCAAACGUGCUUUUUGAAAAUCGCUUUUCCGUAAUCUGAUGCAAAAUAACUGCUUCAACAAACAUGCUUAUGUAAAGCUUCAGUAACAUCAAAUAAGAAAACGUGAUUAUCCUCUUGAUAUUCUACAAAAGCGCUUUUGAACCAAGAAUGACUUAUGCAAAACGCGCUUCUUUCGAAAAAUAGCUUUUCUAAAAAAAAACUGAAUCAAAAGAACUUAACCGUAACGCGUUUUUAUUUAAGAACGCGAUUCUGCUUGAAACUGAAUUUGGUGAACGAAACACCAGCAAGAUCAACGACAAAAGGUGUUUCCUCCCUCGAUCCCAAGGUAUCCACCACAAGCGUAAGGAACCGUGUCGUAGAAAGUGAAAACAAAGAACAACGAGUGUGAAGAAGUUCCUCCACCGGGAUCGAAAUCGACGAUAAAUUCGUCAUGUAAUUGAAAAAUAUGAUUGUUGCUUUUGACGGCAGAAGCGAUUGGUUCCCGUUUUUCGGCGAAGCAGCAAACGCCGUAAACAGGUCCAGAGCAUGUGAAAACAGUAUCGAUGAUGAGAUGCUUUGAUUGCUUGAACUCGGCUUCAGAAAUAUGGAACUCAGAUUCACGGUUGUUCGAAUUUGUUGAUUUGGCAGAAACAAUCAACUCUGAAUCAAGAAUCAGUGUUUCAUGGUUUUCUUCCGAAGCUUCAAAAGAAGAGUUGCGAUUGCUGCAACAAGAAUCAACGAGAAAACAAGGAACGUCACCAAUCUUGAUGGUGAAUUCAUCAAUAACUGGUGCGAUCCAUGGUGAAGGAGGAGGAGUAGAAACCGAAUCGCCAAAACUUCCGAAAACAACUGAAACUUGCGAAGCUGAAGAACUCGAGGUUGCUGAUGCGGAAGCUUCAAGAUCUUCUUCUUCAUCACCAUCAGAAUCAUCUUCUUCUUCAGAAACUGGAUCAAAAUCGCUAUCUCCAUAGCGCUCUGAUACCAUGUGUUAUCGCGAUUUUCGGGUGUCAAGUCAUUAAUUAGGCUUGAACCUUUCAAUCUUUGAUAUUCUCUAUUUUUUUUGGGAAGGGCAAAAUUGAGAAAACCCUUAGAAAUUCUAAGUUCGGGGGUCGUUUUCACUACGGGAAGGUGUUAGGCACCCGCGAUGACUAUAGUACUCUAUAGGAGCCGUUUUCUUAGUUUUAUGUCUACGCUUUAUUUUUAAUGCUAUUUAUGAAAAAAAAGAAAUUUAUUUAUGUUAAGAAUGGGGAGAGAAAGUGUUUGAGGUUUUAUUUUAGUGGACUUGGAGAGGUUUUGACCUCAUGCAUACAUACCCAUUUAAGGGAUCAAACUCCAUGUAGUUCUCUUGAAAAUUGUUUUUGUUUUUGUUGGUUGAUUUUAAGUUUGAAAAAUGAAUUUUGAAGAAUGGAGAUGAGAGGCCUCAAGGGCAUGAGAUUUGGAAAAUGUGAGGUGGAAGUAGUUAUUUUGCAAAGUAAAGUCUAAGUAUGAUUAAAAUUCAUUAAGAUUUUUACUUAAGAAAAUAAAGGAAAAUGAGGAGUUUUGACUCCUAUUUUGGAAAAAAGGUUUUCAAGUGAGGUUAUUCACAUUUUUUGGGAAAAUGAUUUUUGUCUAAGCGUUGUAAAACCUAAGCAUACAUCUAAACAUACAUUCCCUAAUCAUACAUCUAGAAUAUCCAUGUGGGGUGUGUGCAUGUGUCGGUGCUUGUGUCGGUGUACAUCACUUAUAGUGUCCAUAGUCCUUUACAUCGAGUCCUAAAUACAUGCUAUGGUCUUGCAAGAAUUUAAAAGAUGAAUUUAAACUAGCCUAAAAUAUUACAUAACCAUCUUAACAUAGAAAUUAAGAAGAAAAGAAAAAAGAGAUAAUGUCUAAACUAUGAGAAAUUGAAAUGAAAGAGGUGAAAUGCUCAUGGGAUGAAUGAAACAUGAAAUGAAAUGGUUAGUGAUAUAAGGCAUGAAAAUGGUAAAAAAAAAAGGUAAACGAAAUUGAAUAGAAUAGCAAAAAGGAAAAGAGCAAUGAAAUGAAAUAAAAUGGCAAAAUAUACCUAGAAUUGGUUAUAACACUUAGACAUGCACAUGACCUAUAAUUCCCUCAUCAUAGCCAUUUUUAAAAGAGGUUUGAUUUUGAGCUAUAAUGUGAUAAUGAUAAGGACACAUACAAGCCAAGCAUUGUGACAUAUUUCUAGAAAUACUUUGCACUUUAUUUCUUAACAAAAACACACAUUAUUUGCAAAACAAGAAAAAUGAAAAUUCACAUCACCCAAACAGUAAAUCACACAUAGGAUCAGAGACAUAUUCACUAUGAAGUUGCACAUCAAUCAUUCUCAUCACAUGCCAAAGUUUUAUGAAGAGAACAUGGCAAGAAAUUCACAAGUUUAGACCAAAAAGAACCAAUUAAUCAAGAAAAUACCACAUACAUUUUUUUAUUAGUUUUUUUAUGUGUAAAAGCAUCACAAGAAAUACCAAAAAUGAAUUAAAAACAAUAGGAAUUUUUCUAGAAUUUUUGAGAGAAAAAAUUGAGCAAGUAGGGGUUCAAUCAGCAAGAAAACAGGGUGUGAAUAGCAAGAAAAAACAAAAACGUACAGGAAAUAGGCCCAAACCAAAACCUAAAAGUCUGGAAGCACAGGAACCGUUGGAUUGAUCCAGGAAUCCAAGACCUAGAUCUAAAGGUUGAGAAUGAAAAAAGAGAACCAGAAAUAAACCGGACCGGUUCAGUGGUUUAUAUAAAGGCUUUAGGACCGGGUUUUUUCAUUCCCUCCUUUCCUUUCUCUCUCUUCUCUCAUUCUAGUGAGAGAAGCUCUCACUUCUCUCCUCCCUCUCUCGCCGGAAACUGCAUCUCUCCUCCCUCUCUCUCGCCGGAAACUGCAUAUGGAGGAUGAUCUUCAUCUUCUCCAGUGAGGUUUGUUCCUCCGGCGUGGUGGCCGGCCGCCCAAGGGUGGCGGCGCCGCCGCCGGAGUUUGAACAAACUUCUCCGUUUUCGAAAAUUUUCACAUUUUUGGAUAUCCUUUUUCGUUCUAAGCAUGAAUAUGACACUGGUUUUUGCAUGCAAAGCCUGAAUCAACGUAGAUCUACGCUUUUUGCUCGCGGUUUUGAAAGAAACUUUUUCAAGUUUUUUUUACUUUUUCGAAUGGAAUCUUUUAGAAUUUCGUAGAUCUACACUUGAUUCGUCUUUGUUGAUGUUCUUGGAAAAAAAAGAUGAGGUUUGAGUUUUACCUGUGAUUUUCUUGGUGAAUUCGAAACGAAUCUUCAGGAAAACUUGAGUUGAAUCUUGUUCUGUUGAUUCUGGCUUGAGUUCUUGCUGUUCCGAUCCUCUCUUCUUCUUCACAGGUUCGACGUGUUCAUUUUCGUCCCUCUUCUUCGUCUCCGAGAAAGUCUCUGUGAUCGUGCUUGAGUUUGCCGCUUUCAGUGGUGAAUUCGCACUCAAAUUGCAGAGCAACGAUUCAAUGAUGAUGAUUCCUUGAUGAAUCUCUGAGAUUCAAAGCCAUUUCAAUGGAUUCUGGUUCUGGAAAUUUCUACGGUUUUUGGUUUGUUCUUGGGGAUUUUUCUGUUUUGAUCUAAUAGAAAAGAGAGAGAAAAUUGAAAUCUGUUUUUGGUGAUGUGUCAAUGAUUGGAUCUGAUUCUGACUUGUACAGUGAUUGCACCUUUUAUAGGCUGCCAUGUGUGUUUCUGAACCAAUGAGAAAAGGACACCUGUUUUGGACUUAGGGACUCUUCUGCAAAAAAAGAAAAGUGAAAGGACUGAACUGCAAUAAAAAAAAGGACCUAAAUGCAAUUUAAAAAAGUUUUGGACUGAAAAUGCAAAUUAAAAUAAAAUUGGAUUAAAAUUGGCAAUUUGAAAAAACGUAAAGUGAAACAAAAAAUAAAAUCAACAAAAGGACUAAAACGAACCAAUUACUGACAUGAGGUAUUUUAAAAUACCUCCCUGCCGAAAUUUUGACAGGAAAAGACCAAAAUGCCCCUAGGGACUAAACUGACCCAAACUGACUCAAAUGCAAUUUUUGAAAUGAUUUUUAAACAAAGACUCAACAAUGAUUUGUACAGACAAGUUGAAAAGACUUAGAGGCAAACACAGGGACUAAAAUGGGUUCCACUGCAGGAAAUGACCAAAAUACCCUCUUGUAUGAUUUUUUGAAAUAAAAUGCAAGAAAAAGUAAUGCGACGUUUCAGAGAGCUCUUAAAUGACUCAUAAUGCAAGAAAAGACACUUUGAAUAAUUUUAUGCAAGAAAAUCGAGCUUGAACGUACUUUGAGACAGAGACAGUAAAAUAUGCAGAUGAAAAGAGAGUAAAGAUUCAGAGUAAAACAACAGCGAAUUGACAAAUAUCAGUGUUAAAACAAGAAACUUGAAUGAGUAUUUUUAGGUCCAAAAUCAGGGUAUAACACCAUGUUAUGAAUAAAAGGAUUCCAUGGUUUUAGAUCAAAUGCAAUGGAAAGAUAGAUUAUGUAAUUCUCUCUGGGAUUCAUUACAAAGAAACAAUUGUAUAAAAAAUAUGGAAUAGUACAUAGGUGUAGCUUAUUUAUAGUGAAUUGGAGUAACUAAACUCCCUAAGUAACUUUCUACUAUAGUUACCACUAAGUAACUCUAGUUUAUUCUCACUAUACUCUAAUACAAAACUCAACUAAAGCAAGCAUAAACUUACUAAAAACAAUAUGACAGACUGUCAUUACAACACCGCACUUAAACUUUUGUUUUUCUUUAGUAAUAUAUUUGUAAAAUAAAACUCAACAGUAAAAUAACCUCUAUUCUCAAAUGAUAGAAAUACCAAAAAAAUCUACCUCAUCCGGUAAUGGAGCCACCAACUUCUGUGUCCAGCUAAAAAAAUUGUUCUUCUUUCUCUUUAUUCUGUAUUCUAAUCGGUUCUUUUUGGCUUGUCUUCUACAACCUCUUAUAAAAAAAUUAUAAACACGAGAAAAUAGCUCUUUAACAAAUAACUCCUUUAAUUUAAAAUGAUUUCAAAGAAAAUUUCCGUAAUCAAAGAUGAAAAUUGAUUUUUUAAUGUAACCUUUUUUAAACCGUCAAUUUACAUAAUUGGAAUGUCAGUUAAUCAUAACAAUGUCUUUAGACUUCAAAUUUUUGUUUUAUAAAAAUGAAUUGUUUCAAAAUAGUGUUUUUGUUUGUAAGAAAUUUCACAUUAUUUUGUAGAUCAAUGUUCUUAGUUUAGAUACAAAUAAAAUCAAUUCGUGAAAAUCUCAAUGACAAGCCAUCAAAAAAAGGCAUGGUCCUACAAGUUUGAUUCCAUAAGUUUAUUUUAGGUUUUAAGUUUAUCUUUUGAAAGAAUUUUAGGUUUUAAAUUGGUUCUUGUGUUUUAAAAGUUUUAUGUUAAUCCUUUAUGUUUUAAAAAUUUUAAGUUGGUCCUACAAGUUACUCAUAUUGAAAUAAGUUAGUGUAUUUCAUCACUUGACCGUUUAGAGAUUUGGGUUGAGAAUAACGGUGUUGGAGUUUAACUUAUUUACUAAGACAGUUUUAAAAAAAAAAUUAAUUUUUUUUGGUUUUAUUAAACUCAAUAUUAUGAUGAGACCGAAAGAACCAACUAAUUGCAAUGUGAGUAACGUUUUGGACCAACUUAAAACUAAAAAAAUAUAAAGGACGAACUUGAAACUUUUAAAACAUAAGGGAGCAACUUAAAACCUAAAAUCAACUUAAGGGACCAAACAUGCAAUUAAACCUAUAGUAUAUGUAAAACAAAAUGUAAAGAAAUCAACCAACUACAAAAUUUUAUACUCAUUUUUAACGGUAAAAAUGAUUGUUCAUUUUAAUAAAAAAUCGUAUAAAAGGUUCAACUUCUACCUAAGUUUUUUUUUUUUUGAAGAAUCUGCAUAAGUUUGUUGUAAAACUGAUUGUUC